CUGACUCCCUCCCCUCUCUCUCACCCUCGUUUUCUCUCUCUCUCCAAGCUCUCUCCGCUACACCACCAAUACUUUUUUCCCUGGCUGUGGUGUGUUUGUGCUUUAGCGAGUGUAUGGCGAAACCGGUUCUGUGCUGAUCCAGCUUGUGUGAUCACAUGCACAGAGCCAGGAGCAGCGUACCUCUUGCCAACAUCCUGCCUCCACUCUGCUGCCUUUUCUGCUUUGAUUUCACACUGUCUGCUUUUCCACCAGACCUUUUCUUUCUUUAACCCUCUGCUCUCUUCCAAGAAUGAUCUAGGAAGAGGGGAAAGAAAUAACAGAAAGGUGUCUGCGUGAAGGGAGAUGAGGAGGCAGAAAAGGAGAGAGAGAGGGGAGAGGACUAGAGAAGACUGGAGUUAGGCUGCAACACGAGAGGCAAAGCAACGAGGAGAGGGAGAAAGAAGAGAGCAACAUGGAUCGAGGGAUGAUCGAUGUGGAAUCGGGCCGAAAACGCAGGAAAAGGAGGGAAAAAUUGCCAGACUCAUCCGACCUCUGCUGUGUGGGGACCGGACCCAUCACCUGACUGCCCUCUCCUGUCUUCCUGGUCCUCAGCAGAACAGCCAUGAGGUCGAGCCGGACAUUUUGGAAAAUUGUAUCCAGCGACAUCUUGCUAAGAUGGAUCCGAAG